CACUUACCGGGGAGCCCAACGAAGCGGAUUCGGGAGAAGCACAAAGCCAGGAUACAGAUUUGCCCACAAAUUCUCUUACACACAUUCCCCAGGCUGCAAGGCACAGCCCAUCGCAGAGCUGAUGUACCUUGAGAGAGUGGGUUCUGGUCUUGUUUGGGGGACCAGAGAAACUAUUCUUUCCUCUCUCACUCGGCAGCACUAACAAAACGUGCGGACUCAAGGAAAAAACAAAACCUCACUUAGUGUACUCCAGUUCCACUCCCGGUGACAUUCGCUCGGUACGCCCCCCAAAAAGGGGACAGGGGGACAGAAGGGGCGGACGCUAAUCCAGAGGCAGAGCCAGAUCCAGACCGACAGCACAUAAAAGGGUCGAAAACCCCCCGUCACUGUUCUUUCCGGGGUGGGUUAGGAUAGACCAGAGACUCGUCUGACUUAGAAGGGGAGUGGGAGGAUUAGAGGGAAAUGUAGUGCCCCCCAAAGCUGAACUAUUUUAGAAAGGAAAGCAAAGAAAAAUCACUUUCCUGGCGAUAAAAGGCCGGGAAACCGGCUGGUCGGAGUCACAAAGGCAUGUGUUGGCUAACAGCUGAAGAAUACCUUAGAUGAGAAGAGAUUGAGGGCCUCUUGAGAUUCUCUAGAGACUGAAGACUUAAAGCUUACCUUAAGAGACUGACAUUCUCAACAACCUGAAGCUGUCAGAUGUAAGCAGACCAUUUGGAAAAUUGGCAAAGCAAACAGCAGAAAAGAAGGGUAGUUGUUCCAUUUAGUGGUGAGGAACCUGAGACGCAGAAGGCAGCCGAUUCCAGGGAAAAUGAAGAACUCAGGCAGUUGCUGACCAUUCCAGACAGGGAUGUGGCUGGACUCCUGGCUGCCCUCGGGAC